rnacentral:rRNA from 1 species
AAGCUGAUGUAUAGGGGCUGACGCCUGCCCGGUGCUGGAAGGUUAAGGGGAAUAGUUAGCGCAAGCGAAGCUAUGAACUUAAGCCCCAGUAAACGGCGGCCGUAACUAUAACGGUCCUAAGGUAGCGAAAUUCCUUGUCGGGUAAGUUCCGACCCGCACGAAUGGCGUAAUGAUUUGAGCACUGUCUCGGCAAUAAAUCCGGUGAAAUUGUAGUGCAAGUGAAGAUGCUUGCUACCCGCGGUUGGACGGAAAGACCCCGUAGAGCUUUACUGUAGCUUAGCAUUGAAUUUCGGUAUUGUCUGUACAGGAUAGGUGGGAGACUUAGAAGCGAGGGCGUCAGCUUUCGUGGAGUCGUCCUUGGGAUACCACCCUGACAGUACUGGAAUUCUAACUGGAGGCCAUGAAUCUGGUCACAGGACAUUGCUAGGUGGGCAGUUUGACUGGGGCGGUCGCCUCCUAAAAGGUAACGGAGGCGCCCAAAGGUUCCCUCAGCGCGGUCGGAAAUCGCGCGUAGAGGGCAAAGGCAGAAGGGAGCCUGACUGCGACACAUACAGGUGGAGCAGGGACGAAAGUCGGGCUUAGUGAUCCGGUGGUUCUGUAUGGAAGGGCCAUCGCUCAACGGAUAAAAGCUACCUCGGGGAUAACAGGCUGAUCUCCCCCAAGAGUCCACAUCGACGGGGAGG